GACGAACGCUGGCGGCGUGCUUAACACAUGCAAGUCGAACGGUGAAGCGCCUUCCUUUUUGGUGGGUGUGGAUGAGUGGCGAACGGGUGAGUAACACGUGAGUAACCUGCCCCCUUCUUCUGGAUAACCGCAUGAAAGUGUGGCUAAUACGGGAUAUUCUGGGUCUGUCGCAUGAUGGGUCUGGGAAAGAUAUUGUUUCGGUGGGGGAUGGGCUCGCGGCCUAUCAGCUUGUUGGUGGGGUGAUGGCAUACCAAGGCGGUGACGGGUAGCCGGCCUGAGAGGGUGGACGGUCACACAGGGACUGAGACACGGCCCAGACUCCUACGGGAGGCAGCAGUGGGGAAUAUUGCACAAUGGGCGAAAGCCUGAUGCAGCGACGCCGCGUGAGGGAUGGAGGCCUUCGGGUUGUGAACCUCUUUCGCCAGUGAAGCAGGCCUGCCUCGUUUGUGGGUGGGUUGACGGUAGCUGGAUAAGAAGCGCCGGCUAACUACGUG
rnacentral:rRNA from 1 species